rnacentral:rRNA from 1 species
AGCGGCGGACGGGUGAGGAACACGUAGGAAUUUGCCUGGUAGUGGGGGAUAGCCCAGAGAAAUUUGGAGUAAUACCGCAUAUGCCCUGAGGGGGAAAGUGGGGGACCGCAAGGCCUCACGCUAUCAGAGAAGCCUGCGUCGGAUUAGCUAGUUGGUAGGGUAAAGGCCUACCAAGGCGACGAUCCGUAGCUGGUCUGAGAGGAUGAUCAGCCACACUGGGACUGAGACACGGCCCAGACUCCUACGGGAGGCAGCAGUGGGGAAUAUUGGACAAUGGGCGAAAGCCUGAUCCAGCCAUGCCGCGUGUGUGAAGAAGGCCUUCGGGUUGUAAAGCACUUUAAGUGGGGAGGAAAAGCGGUACGUGAAUAUCGUGCAGCCAUGACGUUACCCACAGAAUAAGCACCGGCAAACUCCGUGCCAGCAGCCGCGGUAAUACGGAGGGUGCGAGCGUUAAUCGGAAUUACUGGGCGUAAAGCGCACGUAGGCGGUCAUGUAAGUGGGAUGUGAAACCCCCGGGCUUAACCUGGGACUUGCAUACCAGACUGCAUGGCUAGAGUAUGAGAGAGGGUGGUGGAAUUUCCGGUGUAGCGGUGAAAUGCGUAGAGAUCGGAAGGAACAUCAGUGGCGAAGGCGGCCACCUGGCUUAAUACUGACGCUGAGGUGCGAAAGCGUGGGGAUCAAACAGGAUUAGAUACCCUGG